UAUGACCUACGGGGCGCAGCAGUAGGGAAUUUUCGUCAAUGGGCGCAAGCCUGAACGAGCAAUGCCGCGUGAACGAGGAAGGUCUUCGGAUCGUAAAGUUCUGUUGAAGGGGAAAAAGAGCGGAGAGAGGAAAUGAACUCCGAUUGAUAUUACCUUUCGAGGAAGUCACGGCUAACUACGUGCCAGCAGCCGCGGUAAUACGUAGGUGGCGAGCGUUAUCCGGAAUGAUUGGGCGUAAAGGGUGCGUAGGCGGCCUGCUAAGUCUGGGGUGAAAGGUACCGGCUCAACCGGUACAGGCUCUGGAA
rnacentral:rRNA from 1 species